rnacentral:rRNA from 1 species
UGUUGUGCCCGACUUCUUGGAGGGCCGUAUUUAUUAGAUAACAGCCAAUAGGACUCCGUCCAUUGAGGUGACUCAUAGUAACUGAUCGGAUCGCAUGGGCCUUGCCCGCGACAAACCAUUCAAGUUUCUGCCCCAUCAGCUGCGAUGGUAGUGUAUUGGACUACCAUGGCUUUUACGGGUAACGGAGGAUUAGGGUUCGAUUCCGGAGAGGGAGCCUGAGAAACGGCUACCACAUCUAAGGAAGGCAGCAGGCGCGUAAAUUACCCAAUCCUGACUCAGGGAGGUAGUGACAAGAAAUAACGGGCCGGGA